UACGGAGGGUGCGAGCGUUAAUCGGAAUUACUGGGCGUAAAGCGCACGCAGGCGGUUUGUUAAGCUAGAUGUGAAAGCCCCGGGCUCAACCUGGGAUGGUCAUUUAGAACUGGCAGACUAGAGUCUUGGAGAGGGGAGUGGAAUUCCAGGUGUAGCGGUGAAAUGCGUAGAUAUCUGGAGGAAUAUCAGUGGCGAAGGCGACUCCCUGGCCAAAGACUGACGCUCAUGUGCGAAAGUGUGGGUAGCGAACAGG
rnacentral:rRNA from 1 species